rnacentral:rRNA from 1 species
UACGGGGGGGGUAAGCGUUGUUCGGAAUUACUGGGCGUAAAGGGCUCGUGGGCGGCCAACUAAGUCAUACGUGAAAUCCCUCAGCUUAACUGGGGAACUGCGUGUGAUACUGGAUGGCUUGGAUGUGGGAGAGGGAUGCGGAAUUCCAGGUGUAGCGGUGAAAUGCGUAGAUAUCUGGAGGAACACCGGUGGCGAAGGCGGCAUCCUGGACCAUUAUUGACGCUGAGGAGCGAAAGCCAGGGGAGCAAACGGG